rnacentral:rRNA from 1 species
GGUUAAAAAGCUCGUAGUUGGAUUUCUGUCGAGGGCGGGCGGUCCGCACUAUGUGCGUGUAUCUUGUUCGGUCUUGGCAUCCUCUUGGGGAAUGCUUCUGUGCUUGAUUGCAUGGGGUGGAAUUCAAGACUUUUACUUUGAGGAAAUUAGAGUGUUCACGGCAAGCUACCGCUUUGAAUACAUUAGCAUGGAAUAAUAAUAUAGGGCGUAAGUUCUAUUUUGUUGGUUUCUAGGACAUACGCAAUGAUUAAUAGGGACAUUUGGGGGCAUUCGUAUUAACGCGUCAGAGGUGGAAUUCUUAGAUUGCGUUACGACGAACUACUGCGAAAGCAUUUGCCAAAGAUGUUUUCAUUGAUCAAGAACGAAAGUAUGGGGAUCGAAGACGAUUAGAUACCGUCGUAGUCUAUACCAUAAACUAUGCCAAUUAGAGAUUGGGCGUCGUUCGUUUUAUGACUCGCUCAGCACCUUAUGAGAAAUCAAAAUUUUUGGGUUCCGGGGGGAGUAUGGUCGCAAGUCUGAAACUUAAAGGAAUUGACGGAAGGGCACCACCAGGAGUGGAGCCUGCGGCUUAAUUUGACUCAACACGGGAAAACUUACCAGGUCCAGACAUAGUAAGGAUUGACAGAUUGAUAGCUC